GGCCAAGAGAAUUUCACCCUAAGAGCACCGUGUCUCGGAAGCUAAGCAGGGUUGGGCCAGCUUAGUACUUGGAUGGGAGGCCCGCCUGGGAAUACCGGGUUCUGUAGGCUU
rnacentral:rRNA from 1 species